GCACAUCAACAGAAAAAUACAUCAUCAUAUAUAUCCAACAGAAAACAAUAAUUAAUUAAUAACAAAAUUAGGAACAACUUAAUAAGUAGUACAAAUUAAACACCGUCUUACAUGAAUAUAUAUAUCCGAUCCACAAUAAUAUAUUAUGAGAAAUAUAUAUCUUGAAUUAACCAUGCAUGCAUGCACUAAAAUCAAAGGAAAAUGAUAUAUCAUAUAUAAUUCAAACAGACUAUUGAUCAUGAUAUAUAUUGCUCGGUCAGGUCUGCUCGCUCAAACUGGUCGAUCAGGCGCAACAAAAAGCAAGAACACACCUAAAUGGACACAAGAGGCAAUUUAUAGCCACACCUAAAAUUUCACAGGGCAAACAAAGAACACAUAAUGAACAUACAGUGCAGCAUGCUAAGCAAGCUCCACAACCAUCAAGCUCUUCUUCUGAUCUCCCCUCUAGCAGCCUUGAUUCCGCCGCCGCCGCCGACAUAUCUGAUCACUACCAGUAUAUUAGAAAUUAAUAUUGUUGUAUAUAUGCUAGCUAGCUCUCCUUUUUGCACAUCUUCUUGAUUGAUUGAUUGAUUGUAAUUAAGGUCUUAAGGUAUAUAUAUAUAUAUAUAUAUAUAUAGGGCCGGCCAGUGGAUAUUUUUUAUUUUUUAUUUUUGGUUGUUGGGGAAAUUAAUUAAGGC
rnacentral:lncRNA from 1 species